UACGGGGGGGGCAAGCGUUGUUCGGAAUUACUGGGCGUAAAGAGCUCGUAGGCGGUUUGUCGCGUCGGCCGUGAAAUCUCCACGCUUAACGUGGAGCGUGCGGUCGAUACGGGCAGACUUGAGUUCGGUAGGGGAGACUGGAAUUCCUGGUGUAGCGGUGAAAUGCGCAGAUAUCAGGAGGAACACCGGUGGCGAAGGCGGGUCUCUGGGCCGAUACUGACGCUGAGGAGCGAAAGCGUGGGGAGCGAACAGG
rnacentral:rRNA from 1 species